GACGAACGCUGGCGGCGUGCUUAACACAUGCAAGUCGUACGGUAAGGCCCUUUCGGGGGUACACGAGUGGCGAACGGGUGAGUAACACGUGAGUAACCUGCCCACAACUUUGGGAUAACGCUAGGAAACUGGUGCUAAUACUGGAUAUGUGCCCCUGCUGCAUGGUGGGGGUUGGAAAGCUCCGGCGGUUGUGGAUGGACUCGCGGCCUAUCAGCUUGUUGGUGGGGUAGUGGCCUACCAAGGCGGCGACGGGUAGCCGGCCUGAGAGGGUGACCGGCCACAUUGGGACUGAGAUACGGCCCAGACUCCUACGGGAGGCAGCAGUGGGGAAUAUUGCACAAUGGGCGCAAGCCUGAUGCAGCAACGCCGCGUGCGGGAUGACGGCCUUCGGGUUGUAAACCGCUUUCAGCAGGGACGAUGCUUUUUGUGACGGUACCUGCAGAAGAAGCACCGGCUAACUACGUG
rnacentral:rRNA from 1 species